GGCAGCGAGCGGCCGCAGCGCGCAGGCGCUUCCCACGGGCACCAGCCGCUGCCCGGCGGCGGAGACACUGAACAGCUGCGGGAGCGGGGCAGCUCUGGCCAAGAGAAGGCGUGCACAGGAACGCAGCAGAGAACGUCGAUUCCAGCCCAGGGGCCCCGUUCCCCUCCAUAGUGAAUGCACACACACAAAGGUGACUCCCAAACAGUAUCAACGGAGGCGGGUAGGAGUUCACGGAUGUGUAGAUUGCAACAUAGCUCUGCCGAACCCAGCGUCGUCUCUGGCCUGCCGAGUGAUGAAAUAAUGCACCAUGAAUGUGUGAAGAGAGGACCAUGUCGCGGCUCUACAGAUGUCCUGGAUAGGGAUGUGUGCCAGGAAGCCUGCCGAGGACACCUGAGCACUAGUCGAGUGGGCUCUGACAAUCAGCAACGGUGGGACUCCCACUAGAUCGUAACAGGUCUUUAUGCAAGAGGUGAUUCAGUUGGAAAUCCUCUGCAAGGACACCAUAAAGCUCUUCAUCCUAUCCGCUGUGGCGAUGAAGAGCUAAGUUGAUUUACGGAAAGGCUUGGUACACUCUUGGUAAAAAGCCAAGGCCCUUCGGAUGUCCAGUGCAUGAAGAUGCCUCUCUUCACUGGUCUUGUGCAUUUUGAGACAGCACCAGGAUAAAGAUGUCCUAGUUCAUAUGAAACGUUGAUAACACCUUCAGCAGGAAGGCCAGGUGAGGCCUCAGCUGAACCUUGUCUUUGUAGAAGACUGUAUACGGCAGUUCUGAGGUUAAGGCUUUAAUCUGGUGUCACCGUCACCAGGAAAGCAACCUUCCAUGACAGGUGGGAAAGGGAGCGGGAGCCCAACGGCUCAAAGGGUGGGCCAGUGAGCCUAGAGAGGACCAAGUUAAAAUCCCACUGUGGGACAGGGGUUCGAACCUGCGGGAAGAACCUCUUGAGGCCUCUCAAGAAUCUGACCGUCAUGUCAUGAGCAAACACCAUCUGACCCUGCAUCAGUG